ensembl:lncRNA
AAGCUUCCUUCCUUUUGCACCAAGGAGCAGGGGCUUUUCCUAAUGCUUGGUGACGCUAUUGAGAGAUAACCACUAUCAUCUGUUGUAUCUACUCCGUAUGGAAAGCCACACACUUUGCUGCCAUCCCUGAUCUCAGGAGACGUUCCCAGCAGCCCUUUAGGUAGGGCACAGACACACACACACACCCACAUUUUACAGGUGAUGGAGGGAGGCUCAAAGUGGGCUCCAAGGUCUAUGAUCCCACCUACUACACUGAGGGAUUGAAAAUAGCCUAAAUGCUUGAUAAGCUUAUUCUUGAAAUACACUGAAAAGGAAACACAGUUCUAGCACUUGGAUUCCUCAGUGCACCUAGAUUUAGCCUCUAGGGGAUAAUCAGAAAAACUUCUGCAGCCUCUAACACAUCCUAUAAUAGCCAUGAUCCCAUUGAUCAAGCUGCCAUUAGGUGUCAGAUGCUGUGCAGAGCCCUUUUCAUUUAUCAGCUCAUUGGUUUCUCCCAGACAUCCUCUAAGCGAGGCAUUCCAAGGAGCCCCAUUUUGAGGAUGGGGAAACUGAGACUCUGGGAGGAAUUUCUGGAGGUCAUGCUCAAGAAUUGGGAACGGCAAAUGAGUUUUGGCUUCUUCAUCAAGAUGAAUUGAUUCCUAAUGGCCACUUGGAAGCACAGCGUUGAGAAGGAUUUGCUCAGUGGGAAAGACUGUCCGCCAUCGAUUGGUGCUGUCUGCCAUCCUGUUCGUUUCGUGCUGUCUGUCUUGCGUGCAGGAUUAGCAGUCGUGGUGCAAGCGCUGAGAUUAUCUGCUGAGUUUUGUCUGGAACUUAACAACAACAAGUCCGUGUUCGUUAAAAUAAAAAAUUAAGCUAAUGUUUUUGAUGGUUCAAAUUUUACAUUUGAAAAAUACAAUAGGAUUCCAUAAAGAUUUAUUUUUUUGAAAGGAAUACUGUGAAAAGUCUGUCUUACUUCUGACUUCUUGACAUCCAGAAAUACCCUUCGCCCUAAGGCUGUGUUUACCUCUCAGCCUCAGUUUUCACGUCUUUAAAAUGGGAGCUAAGAAGAGAACCCAGAAGACCUAGUCCAUGCCUGCAAAUCAUUUAGAAUCUGUAACCUUCAGCAGUCAAUUCGUAUCUAUUACCAUUGCUGUCCACGUCUCUCUCCUCCUCCCUGACGAAAGAACCGAGGCUGAACAAAUGUUUCUCAGAUGGGGCCACCCCACCCCCCUCCACCUCCACCAGCAGGGAGGAGCUGACACAGGAAGAACACAGGAAUGGUUACACGGCUCUGAAGUUCAUCACCUUUUGCUGACCAGUCACAGCAACUCCCUGCAAAGAGGCUGCUUCAUCUCCAGACCUGACUUUGUAUUUCCCGGGUGAUCAUGGGAAAAUCACUGCACAUCUCUGAGCCUCAGUUUGUUCAUCUUCGAUAUGGGAACAUCAGCUCCCGCGCUGCAAGGACUCAGCAAGGAUUCCAUGAGACAGUAUGCAAACUCGCUAGCCCAAGUCUGUGGCUAGGGCUAGCUUUUAGUUUUUGAGUUGGUGUUUUGUUUUCUUAACUGGGGUAUUGUUGCUUUUCAGUGUUGUGUUAAUUUCUGCUGUACAAAGAAGUGAAUCAGCUAUAUGUACACAUAUAUCCCCUCCCUUUCGGACCUUGCUCCCAUCUAAACUGACAUUUCUCCAAAGAAGACAUUUAAGAGGCACAUGAAAAGAUGCUCAACUUCACUAAUUAUUAGAGAAAGGCAGAUCAAAACUACAAUGAGGUAUCACCUCACACCAGUCAGAGUGAGCCAUCAUCAAAAUAUCUACAAACAAGAGCUUUUAGCUUUUGAUUCCAUUUCCGCAAACACAGUCUUGAAACACUGCUUGUCUAGAGCAGCCUAUAGAGACCUUUUCUCACCCGUGUUCCUGUUUAAUUGCAGGCGAGUUUUUGCUCCCCUUAUAACUGAGUCUAGAAGAGAGGAAAUGUUUUGCCCAAGGUCACACAGUGGCUACAGGCAGCUCUGUGGUUUGAAUCCCCAAACCAAACUUUCUGACCCUCAUCUCAGAUUUUCUACCUUGAGUUGUCCCACCUUCUACCCACUGGCUAGUUCUAGAACUUGCAAAUCCACGCAUCUCAAAACUGUUACAUAGCCCUCCAACCCAACCCCAGACAGACUUCUUUAAAACUUAUUUCCACUCAAGCUUCAUACAUCCUACUUUUCUCCUCACUCCCAUCCCUAUCUUGGGGGGAAUCUAACUCUUUGAACUAGGGGUGGGUAGGGGGUAAGAAGAA